rnacentral:rRNA from 1 species
GACGAACGCUGGCGGCGUGCCUAAUACAUGCAAGUAGAACGCUGAAGCUUGGUGCUUGCACCGAGCGGAUGAGUUGCGAACGGGUGAGUAACGCGUAGGUAACCUGCCUGGUAGCGGGGGAUAACUAUUGGAAACGAUAGCUAAUACCGCAUAAGAGUAGAUGUUGCAUGACAUUUGCUUAAAAGGUGCAAUUGCAUCACUACCAGAUGGACCUGCGUUGUAUUAGCUAGUUGGUGAGGUAACGGCUCACCAGGGCAACGAUACAUAGCCGACCUGAGAGGGUGAUCGGCCACACUGGGACUGAGACACGGCCCAGACUCCUACGGGAGGCAGCAGUAGGGAAUCUUCGGCAAUGGACGGAAGUCUGACCGAGCAACGCCGCGUGAGUGAAGAAGGUUUUCGGAUCGUAAAGCUCUGUUGUAAGAGAAGAACGAGUGUGAGAGUGGAAAGUUCACACUGUGACGGUAUCUGACCAGAAAGGGACGGCUAACUACGUG